AUUGAACGCUGGCGGCAUGCCUUACACAUGCAAGUCGAACGGCAGCACGGAGCUUGCUCUGGUGGCGAGUGGCGAACGGGUGAGUAAUAUAUCGGAACGUACCCAAGAGUGGGGGAUAACGUAGCGAAAGUUACGCUAAUACCGCAUACGAUCUAAGGAUGAAAGCAGGGGACCGCAAGGCCUUGUGCUCCUGGAGCGGCCGAUAUCUGAUUAGCUAGUUGGUGAGGUAAAGGCUCACCAAGGCAUCGAUCAGUAGCUGGUCUGAGAGGACGACCAGCCACACUGGAACUGAGACACGGUCCAGACUCCUACGGGAGGCAGCAGUGGGGAAUUUUGGACAAUGGGGGCAACCCUGAUCCAGCAAUGCCGCGUGAGUGAAGAAGGCCUUCGGGUUGUAAAGCUCUUUUGUCAGGGAAGAAACGGUCGUGGCUAAUAUCCAUGGCUAAUGACGGUACCUGAAGAAUAAGCACCGGCUAACUACGUGCCAGCCGCCGCGGUAACAC
rnacentral:rRNA from 1 species